rnacentral:rRNA from 1 species
UACGGAGGGGGCUAGCGUUGUUCGGAAUUACUGGGCGUAAAGCGCACGUAGGCGGCUUUGUAAGUCGGGGGUGAAAGCCUGUGGCUCAACCACAGAAUUGCCUUCGAUACUGUAGAGCUUGAGACCGGAAGAGGUAAGUGGAACUGCGAGUGUAGAGGUGAAAUUCGUAGAUAUUCGCAAGAACACCAGUGGCGAAGGCGGCUUACUGGUCCGGUUCUGACGCUGAGGCGCGAAAGCGUGGGGAGCAAACAGG